rnacentral:lncRNA from 1 species
CCCAAACCAUUACUGUCACCUCCUUACAGAGCUAACAGGUAUGCCCCCUUUAUUUAUCCUACGGUUCGGACUUGGUGUACAGGGAGAAUACUGUAGGAACGGCCCAUGUUCUGAAUUCUGUCACUGUACAUUUCAAAAGUGCUGAACAAAUAGUUAUAUUGACUACGUCCGUCCACUCGUCGUCCCCUUAUGCCAUGGCCUAUUUAUUGCCUUUACUCCCUUAUCUUACCUCAUUUGCACUCACUGUAUAUAGACUUUUUGUUUUCUUUUGUUCUACUGUAUUAUUGACUGUAUGUUUUGUUUAUUCCAUGUGUAACUCUGUGUUGUUGUAUGUUGUCGAACUGCAUUGCUUUAUCUUGGCCAGGUUGCAGUUGCAAAUGACAACUUGUUCUCAAAUAGCCUACCUGGUUAAAUAAAGGUGAAAUAAAUAAAAUUUAAAAAAUUUAAAAAUCACCUACGGCGACGAGUCCAUGUACCGUGGAGAAAUUGAUCGGCUAGUGGCCUAGUGCAGUCGCAAUAACCUGGAACUCAACAGAUAAAUCUGUGGAAAUGGUGGUUGACUUCAGGAAAUGCCCCCCCACCUUUCCUGCCCCUCGAGGCUCAGCUGUUAACAUGGCUGAAACAUUAAUAUUCCUGGGGACCAUCAUCACCCACAACCUCAAGUGGGAGGACAUCAUCACAGCGGUCACCAAGAUGGCUAGUAGAUGUACUUGCAGGCAGCUGAAAAAAAAAACAUAGAAUCUCCCAGUCAAACCUGAUCUGGUUUUACUCAUCCAGCUUUGAGUCCAUCCUCACCUCUUCCAUCACCAUCUUUGUCUGCCUGUUGCAAGGACAAACUGAAACGCAUUUUCCGGCUACCACCUACACUCUAUCGAGGUCCUGCACGACUCCAGGACCGGUCAUUAGGGUUGGCUUCAAAACAUCUAUACAGUUUUAUUGAUGUUACUCAUGUGUUUGUAUUACUAUUGCCAAUAGACUCAUCUUGAAUGAAAGCAAAGUAUCUCUCUUCCACAACAAAGAACACAGCACAUCAACACCUGCUAUCUUGAAUAAUUAUUUUUCCUGCGGUAGUGAUGUGUAUCUCAAUUAGAC